rnacentral:rRNA from 1 species
GACGUAGGGUCCAAGCGUUGUCCGGAUUUACUGGGCGUAAAGCGCGCGUAGGCGGUCUGUUAAGUGCACAAGUGAAAGCUCCGGGCUCAACUCGGAAAUUGCUUUGCAUACUGGCAGGCUGGAGGGACGCAGAGGUCUGUGGAAUUCCCGGUGUAGUGGUGAAAUGCGUAGAUAUCUGGAGGAACACCGGUGGCGAAGGCGGCAUCCUGGACCGAUACUGACGCUGAGGUGCGAAAGCGUGGGGAGCAAACAGG